UCACUACCCUUUUGGGUCUUCUUUUCUUCUACUCAAUUGGAAAGGUUGUUGUCAUUUGAAAUCAAAAGAAAGUCCCAUGAGCAUGCAGACGCUGACCCUCUUUCGCUUCCCCCAACCAAUUUCUCAAAACGCUGUCGUUCCCAGCUACGCCAUGUCUCGUUCCUCCGAAACCUCCUUUCCCACCCUCACCACUACUUCUAUAUCAUUCUUUCAACUCCAAGAUAAGAACGCUGACUUGUCGUUGAAGAUUGAAGAAGGCUUUGGACCCAAUGGGUUGGGGAUUCUAUCUGUCACUGAUGUUCCAGGAUACCCUUCACUGCGCAGAAAUCUAUUGCAACUUGCACCAAGAUUAGCGAAACUUCCCAAAGAAGUAAAGGAGGAUCUUGAAGAUCCUAACAGUACAAUUUUGGUUGGAGUCAUGGGAAAGAGAAACUUGAGUCAGGGAAGCCAGCAUCAAAAGGAAAGGAAGACAUGCUCUGGAAGUGACUUUCUGUCAAAAGAAAAUAUAUUAAAGGGAUCUUUCUAUGCCAAUCCCAUACUUGAUACACCUACAACAGAGACUUCUUUGAUACAACGGUAUCCAUCAUAUUGUGGAUCAAAUAUAUGGCCUAGGAACACUUUACCGGAAUUUGAAGUGGCUUUCAAAGCACUUGGCAUGCUGAUAUUUGAUGUCGGAUUGAUGUUGGCAUAUCACUGUGAUCAAUAUGUAUCGAGAGGGAUGAAAACUCGUAAGGAUGAAGGUCUGGAAUCAAUACUUCGUCGCUCCCGCUGUCACAAAGGACGUUUGCUAUAUUAUUUUCCUUCCCAACAAGGAGACCCAGAUGGUAACUCUUUGUCAUCAUGGUGUGGAUGGCAUACUGACCACGGUUCACUGACAGGCCUAACUUGUGGUAUGUUUACGAAAGAUGGUGUAGAAAUGUCUUGCCCUGAUAGUGCUGCUGGCCUCUAUAUUCGAACAAGAAGUGAUCAAAUUGUCAAAGUUGUCUUUGGAGAAGAUGAUAUAGCAUACCAAAUUGGUGAAACCACUGAAAUACUUUCUGGAAGUUAUCUUUGUGCAACACCUCAUUGUGUUCAGGCUCCCAAGGGGGAGAAGUCUUCUGGCAUUGAGCGCUCGACAUUUGCAUUAUUCAUGCAACCGGACUGGGAUGAAAAACUCAAUUUCCCCGAGGAAGUUCGCAUUCAUAAAGAGCUUAUUCCAUCAAAUUCUGCCCUUACUUUUGGAGAGUAUUCAGAGAUGCUGCUGGACAAAUAUUAUCACCAAAAACAGUAAUGUUUACAUCUUGUCUAUUGAUGUUGAUCAAACUCGACCUAUGUUUUUUGGACCUAGGGUCGAUCACUGGUUGAAGAGACUUGGCCUGUUAAUUCAUGGGACUAGAAUAAUACUGUGUAAAUGUGUAGUCGCUAUUAGAUAGUGGCAAAAAAAGGGAUAACUGGUUGACUUGUUACUUAUAUGCCAACAAGUAUUACUAGUUGUGAAGAAUUAGCAUGUUACUAAAUCACGGGACUGAGAAAAUUGUGUAAAUAAAUGUGCAGUCACUAUUGGAUAAUAGAAAAAGAAAAGGAAAAUUAUUAUAAACUACGUAGAAUGAAAGUUACUGUACAAUCCAAUGUUUGCUUUCUUAUCUUCAAUGGUGACGCCAUGCAAUGAUAAAACCUAUUUGUGACAGGAUAUAAGCUCCGAGUUUAAAGUCUAAGGAACAAUGUUCAACUUUUUGAGUGUUAUCACAUCAUGAGCCUUAAGCCUACCAAGGUUAACAGCAUUAAAAGUUCGAUUACCUUUAUAAGAUUUGGACAUCUUAAAUAAAUGCAUGGAUUUCUGUACCAUAUCUUUCUCUUAGAGGAAAAGUUGUCGAGCAAACAUACACGAAUUCGCAAGCAAACACCGGCAGAUGGAUCAAGUUUAACUACCAAAAUUUUAUAUUUUUAGUUUACUUUAACAAAAGGAGAUAAUGUUCUUUCUUUAAUUAUGAGUUUUUCUUUUUUCCUUUGCGAAACGAAACAAAAUUAGAUGUCUCUUUCACCAACUAACACAAAAUCAAACACAGACAAGAAAAUAGCCACCUAAUAAGAUAGUAAAUAUUUUGGGCGGUCAGACUAAUACACAGUCGUCACUGUAGAAUUGAAUUUGGGUAAAUUCUAGA